rnacentral:rRNA from 1 species
GUGAAAACCCAGGGCUCAACCCUGGGCCUGCGUUCGAUACGGGCGGACUAGAGUUCGGUAGGGGAGACUGGAAUUCCUGGUGUAGCGGUGAAAUGCGCAGAUAUCAGGAGGAACACCGGUGGCGAAGGCGGGUCUCUGGGCCGAUACUGACGCUGAGGAGCGAAAGCGUGGGGAGCAAACAGG